rnacentral:rRNA from 1 species
GGUUAAGCGACUAAGCGUACACGGUGGAUGCCUAGGCAGUCAGAGGCGAUGAAGGGCGUGCUAAUCUGCGAUAAGCGUCGGUAAGCUGAUAUGAAGCGUUAUACCCGACGAUACCCGAAUGGGGAAACCCAGUGUGUUUCGACACACUAUCAUUACGUGAAUACAUAGCGUAAUGAGGCGAACCGGGGAACUGAAACAUCUCAGUACCCCGAGGAAAAGAAAUCAACCGAGAUUCCCUAGUAGCGGCGAGCGAACGGGGAGGAGCCCAGAACCUGAAUCAGUUUGUGUGUUAGUGGAAGCGUCUGGAAAGUCGCACAGUAAAGGGUGAUAGUCCCGUACACAAAAAUGCACAGAUUGUGAGUUCGAUGAGUAGGGCGGGACACGUGACAUCCUGUCUGAAUAUGGGGGACCAUCCUCCAAGGCUAAAUACUCCUGACUGACCGAUAGUGAACCAGUACCGUGAGGGAAAGGCGAAAAGAACCCCGGCGAGGGAGUGAAAUAGAACCUGAAACCGUGUACGUACAAGCAGUGGGAGCCUUGAUUAAUCAGGGUGACUGCGUACCUUUUUGUAUAAUGGGUCAGCGACUUAUAUUCUGUAGCAAGGUUAACCGUAUAGGGAGCCGCAGGGAAACCGAGUCUUAACUGGGCGUUAAGUUGCAGGGUAUAGACCCGAAACCCGGUGAUCUAGCCAUGGGCAGGUUGAAGGUUGGGUAACACUAACUGGAGGACCGAACCGACUAAUGUUGAAAAAUUAGCGGAUGACUUGUGGCUGGGGGUGAAAGGCCAAUCAAACCGGGAGAUAGCUGGUUCUCCCCGAAAGCUAUUUAGGUAGCGCCUCGUGAAUUCAUCUUCGGGGUAGAGCACUGUUUCGGCUAGGGGUCAUCCCGACUUACCAACCCGAUGCAAACUACGAAUACCGAAGAAUGUUAUCACGGGAGACACACGGCGGGUGCUAACGUUCGUCGUGAAGAGGGAAACAACCCAGACCGCCAGCUAAGGUCCCAAAGUCAUGGUUAAGUGGGAAACGAUGUGGGAAGGCACAGACAGCCAGGAUGUUGGCUUAGAAGCAGCCAUCAUUUAAAGAAAGCGUAAUAGCUCACUGGUCGAGUCGGCCUGCGCGGAAGAUGUAACGGGGCUAAACCAUGCACCGAAGCUGCGGCAGCGACACUUAGGUGUUGUUGGGUAGGGGAGCGUUCUGUAAGCCGUCGAAGGUGGCCUGUGAGGGUUGCUGGAGGUAUCAGAAGUGCGAAUGCUGACAUAAGUAACGAUAAUGCGGGUGAAAAACCCGCACGCCGGAAGACCAAGGGUUCCUGUCCAACGUUAAUCGGGGCAGGGUGAGUCGACCCCUAAGGCGAGGCUGAAAAGCGUAGUCGAUGGGAAACAGGUUAAUAUUCCUGUACUCGGUGUUACUGCGAAGGGGGACGGAGAAAGCUAGGUUAUCCGGCGACGGUUGUCCCGGUUUAAGCGUGAAGGUGGAUGACUUUGGUAAAUCCGGGUCGUCAUUAACACUGAGGCGUGAUGACGAGUCACUACGGUGAUGAAGUAACCAAUGCUACGCUUCCAGGAAAAGCCUCUAAGCUCCAGGUAACAUCAAAUCGUACCCCAAACCGACACAGGUGGUCAGGUAGAGAAUACUCAGGCGCUUGAGAGAACUCGGGUGAAGGAACUAGGCAAAAUGGUGCCGUAACUUCGGGAGAAGGCACGCUGAUGGUAGGUGAAGUGACUUGCUCACGGAGCUGAAAUCAGUCGAAGAUACCAGCUGGCUGCAACUGUUUAAUAAAAACACAGCACUGUGCAAACACGAAAGUGGACGUAUACGGUGUGACGCCUGCCCGGUGCCGGAAGGUUAAUUGAUGGGGUCAGCCGCAAGGCGAAGCUCUUGAUCGAAGCCCCGGUAAACGGCGGCCGUAACUAUAACGGUCCUAAGGUAGCGAAAUUCCUUGUCGGGUAAGUUCCGACCUGCACGAAUGGCGUAAUGAUGGCCAGGCUGUCUCCACCCGAGACUCAGUGAAAUUGAACUCGCUGUGAAGAUGCAGUGUACCCGCGGCAAGACGGAAAGACCCCGUGAACCUUUACUAUAGCUUGACACUGAACCUUGAGCCUUGAUGUGUAGGAUAGGUGGGAGGCUUUGAAGCGUGGACGCCAGUCUGCGUGGAGCCAACCUUGAAAUACCACCCUUUAAUGUUUGAUGUUCUAACGUGGGCCCGUGAUCCGGGUUGCGGACAGUGUCUGGUGGGUAGUUUGACUGGGGCGGUCUCCUCCCAAAGCGUAACGGAGGAGCACGAAGGUUAGCUAAUCCUGGUCGGACAUCAGGAGGUUAGUGCAAAGGCAUAAGCUAGCUUGACUGCGAGAGUGACAGCUCGAGCAGGUGCGAAGCAGGUCUUAGUGAUCCGGUGGUUCUGAAUGGAAGGGCCAUCGCUCAACGGAUAAAGGUACUCCGGGGAUAACAGGCUGAUACCGCCCAAGAGUUCAUAUCGACGGCGGUGUUUGGCACCUCGAUGUCGGCUCAUCACAUCCUGGGGCUGAAGUAGGUCCCAAGGGUAUGGCUGUUCGCCAUUUAAAGUGGUACGCGAGCUGGGUUUAGAACGUCGUGAGACAGUUCGGUCCCUAUCGCCGUGGGCGUUGGAAGAUUGAGAGGGUUGCUCCUAGUACGAGAGGACCGGAGUGAACGCACCACUGGUGUUCGGGUUGUGAUGCCAAUUGCAUUGCCCGGUAGCUAAGUGCGGAAGAGAUAACCGCUGAAAGCAUCUAAGCGGGAAACUUGCCUCGAGAUGAGUCUUCCCUGGCACCAGAUGCCCCUGAAGGGCCGUUGAAGACUACGACGUAGAUAGGCUGGGUGUGUAAGCGUAGCGAUACGUUGAGCUAACCAGUACUAAUGACCCGAGAGGCUUAACCUU